AACGAACGUUAGCGGCGCGCCUAACACAUGCAAGUCGAACGCGACAGGGGCAACUCUGUUGAGUGGCGCACGGGUGAGUAACACGUAGGUAAUCUCCCCUCGAGUGGUGGAUAACCUUCCGAAAGGAGGGCUAAUACAGCAUAAGACCACGGCCUCGAAAGAGGCCGAGGUCAAAGCGGAGGAUCGCAAGACUUCGCGCUUGAGGAGGAGCCUGCGGCCCAUCAGGUAGUUGGCGGGGUAAUGGCCCACCAAGCCUAAGACGGGUAGCUGGUCUGAGAGGAUGAUCAGCCACACUGGAACUGAGACACGGUCCAGACUCCUACGGGAGGCAGCAGUGGGGAAUCUUGCGCAAUGGACGAAAGUCUGACGCAGCGACGCCGCGUGGGUGAUGAAGGCCUUCGGGUUGUAAAGCCCUGUGGGGAGGGACGAAUAAGUUCCGGUUAAUACCCGGAGCGAUGACGGUACCUCCCUAGCAAGCACCGGCUAACUCUGUGCCAGCCGCCGCGGUAACAC
rnacentral:rRNA from 1 species